rnacentral:rRNA from 1 species
CCUACGGGAGGCAGCAGUAAGGAAUAUUGGACAAUGCUCGCAAGAGUGAUCCAGCCAUGCCGCGUGCAGGAAGAAUGCCCUAUGGGUAGUAAACUGCUUUUGAACUAGAGAAAACCCCAGUACGUGUACUGGGCUGAUAGUAUAGUUAGAAUAAGCAUCGGCUAACUUCGUGCCAGCAGCCGCGGUAAGACGAAGGAUGCAAGCGUUAUCCGGAUUCAUUGGGUUUAAAGGGAGCGUAGGUGGACUGAUAAGUCAGUGGUGAAAUCUCCGAGCUUAACUCGGAAAUUGCCAUUGAUACUGUUGGUCUUGAGUACAGUUGCUGUGGGCGGAAUAUGACAUGUAGUGGUGAAAUACAUAGAGAUGUCAUAGAACACCGAUUGCGAAGGCAGCUCACAAAGCUGUAACUGACACUGAGGCUCGAAAGUGCGGGGAUCAAACAGGAUUAGAUACCCUGGUAGUCCGCACCGUAAACGAUGUAUACUCGUCUGCGUGGGGACUACCGUUAGUGGUCUUAGACGAAAGGACGUAAGUAAGUACUUCCGACGUAGGUUAGGUUACGGCCGGCGACGGAGAACGUUAAGUUAGUUAGUUAGAGNGNGAGAGNGACGACGACGACGACGGAGGAGAG